GGCUCUGGAGCUCAGUUGGUUAGAGCGCUGCACCGGAAAUGAGAGGCCUGCAGGUUCAAUUCCUGCCAGAGGGCCU
rnacentral:tRNA from 1 species